CUUUAUACUCUGCGGAGAGUGAGUCGACGGACUGUAGCCUGGGCCUCGCCAAGUUCCUUUGUUCUUUGUUUUCUUUAAAUUACCUUUUUUCUUUUUGUCUUAGAAAAUACACAUGGGUGAAAAUGAAACGAGAGCUCCCUAGAGAUCACUCAGAGCUGUUCUCAUGGGUUUUUAACUUCCAGUUGCUCAAGGGCCCGUGCUGGCUUCUGGGGUGUACUCGCACCUGCAAAGUCCAGCUUCUAGGGAGCAGCGCGAGCUGUUCUUUGUUCAAUACGCCAAGAAUCUGGACACUCUUCCCUGGCAACAUAUUUUGGCAAGCCUGCCAGGAGCGCCUAGACACGGAGGCGACUGCAGGUUCCUGGCCGGGGGCUACUCUCCAGUGCUGCCUUGAAGGCCAAGGAGUGAAUGGGGAUAGUUGCCCUGCCCAGAAACGGGAAGGACUCUUUUCUGUCUUUUCUGGUUGUGGUCCCUGAUCCCUAUGUGUGACGCAGCUUCUCCAGGGCGAACUCACACGUGUUUCA
rnacentral:sRNA from 1 species